AUUAUGUGUGCGACAGGAUGCAGGUCGGGCCUGUUAGCCCGGCUAAGGGAACUACCACACAGAUCACCACUGCCAAGCCUCAUACUCACCAACACCAGAUCGAUUGCGUAUAAAAUGGAUGAG